ensembl:lncRNA
AGGUAAUGUAACAGGCCAGAGUCUCAGGUGACUUUAGGAUGCUAUUAAUAACCUGUCAGGCGUAACAUUGUUCUUUGAAACCAGAAGCUAUUGGCUGUGGCAGCUGAUGGCUCCGAUGUGGCUUGGUAGUUCCUGCAGAUACCACUGAAACCCGUUAUCUUUCUAGUCUUGCUGCUGCCAUCUUGAGAGAGAGGUUGUGGAGCAGGGUGGAACCCAGUGUGACUGCUCUGUGGAUGGGGGGAAAUUAAUUGUUUAGCUUGACUGUUUUCCUAAUCCACCUUUUCUCCCUUUGUGAAAUCCCGUAUAAGUCACACGUGACUAAGUUUGUAACAAAGCAAGCAGCUUUCUCAUUGGGGAGUUCCCUGGCCACCAGCAGGAGAUGUCCCAGCGCUGCAGGGCUGCCAAUGGUAGGGGUCCUUGGAUCUGUCCAGGCAAUGCACUUUUUAAAGAAAAGUGUAUUUAAGUGUUGAUUUCAGAGAAAACUGUUCGCAGCCUUGUUGCAAAGUGAUCAGGUGAGGCAUCUCAUUUUAGUGUCCUGUGGGCUGGGGGUGAGACAGUUCCCCAGUAGCAGCCAUACUAGGCCAGAAGGCUAGUGCCCAUGGGACCUGCUUGUUUUUGAACUAUGGUAAUGUAGACUGCUGAAACCCUGUUACAGCUCCAAUGUCCUUCUGUUCUAAUGAUUCCCAUUUCUCAAGCAAGACUCUGCCUCUUUUCCUGUCCUGUGAGAAACUGGAUGGAAGUUGCCGUGCCUAUCCGUAGCUUCCUAGAGGAAGGGAGCUUGUCUAAGCCAUGAGCAUCGCUUUGCCAUCAGCAGAGGUGCAAAUGCUUCAAGGAUGGUCUUAGCAUUGCUAGCUUGAGCACAGCCUAGUCAGUCUGCAUGGUGUGAUUGGGUGGACCAUAUCUAAGUGCACGAGAACAUCUGACUUUGAUUUUGCGGCCAACUGAUUAGCUGUGCGGAUAAGAUGGUAUGAUUUCUGUGGCUUUAGAUGAAGUGGCUGUAUCCACUGAGCAGCAGGAAAUGUGUGCGUGCCUGUCUACUUGGUAGCCUUCUUUGAUCAUGUGUAAACUGCAUCUGAGUUCAGGUCAAUCGUACUCUUUCCCUGUUGGUGUGUGAACACACUUGGGCUUCUGAUUAAUCACUAAUAUUUGCAGAGGUUUGACUGUCAGGCAGUAACUCGGUCUGCUACAAGUCAGCUUCAGCAUAUUAGGAGAAUGUUAGAGUUGACUAGAAAUAAGCAAUUUCUUAAAUGAGCGUGAGCAUUUAUAAGAGUGCUUGUGCCUCUGAAACUUAGGUAGCUGAAGCCUAAAAUUUGCAUCUAAGCAACUGAAUAUAAUCAAAUAUGUGAAUAGUGCACAAUAUUUUUUUUCUCCCUGUUAGGGAAAUUGGGAAUUGCUAGAAGAAUUGCAAGAUGCAUUAGGAAUUGGUGUGCUGGGAGACAACCAGCAAUACCAAGAUUAGAAAUAUUGGGAUGAGUGGAGGUGAGGAGUAUUUCUCAGGCUUAUCUCAACCUUAUCUACAACUUCCAUUAAUUUCCCUGGAUCAAAAAGCCAUCUGGUUAACAAGACAUGCUUUGGGCAGAAAGUAGGAGGCAUCGUCAGCAUGGAAGGAUCAGAAUUAUCAUACCAGGAAUAUUGAGACCAGAAUAACAGAAAUGGGCUGAAACUCAGCAGCACAGAGUUCUCAGUGACUAAUAACAAAAACUUAUUCUUAAGCAGGGGCUUUGUCAGUUAGAAAAUACUGAGAAGGAGAAAGAUGUCGGUGUAUUGGCUGAUCACAGGAUGACUAUGAACCAUCAAUGUGACUUUUCUUGUGAAAAAGGAAAAUUUAGUGUAAAGAGGCACCAGGUGAAUCAUGAUGAGGCCUGGUCCCCUCUGGGACACAGGAGUUAGAGUGGACAUGAAAAAUCUAUUACACAAGAUUGCACUGAAAGGAAGCCCAGCAGGAAAAUCUACAAGAAGGCUAAACAAAAUGAAGGCACUGAGUAAUUGUAAAGUACGGGAGUCUAACUCAAUCUGUAGUGCUGCCAGAAGAAUAAACACAAGAAAUAGUGAUGAAUGUAAUUCGUCUGCAAAUUAGGAGUUCUCUUAGAAACAGAAGUGCCCAGAAAUGUAGCCAGCCAUUUCCUAAGAUGACACACUAGAAGGACCUAAAGGAGAGACCUGCAAUAGCAUGGCAUGGUCUGGAAGCUGGUUCAUUUAGUGCAGGGCUCCCAGACAAGCUGUUAGUUAAGCUGCUGCAAGUUUUGUAGAUAGUUUGUUAGCACAAAAUUAAUCAGUGGAAGCUAGUUUGCUGAGAACAUAUGGAAAUGUGCUUUUGUAAUUGUUUUAGCUUACAGAAUCCUUCAGAGAUUUGAAGUUGUUCCAAGCUACAUUCACAGGCCUCAAGUUUGCUGAGGUAAAUUAAGCCAAAUUCCCGCUGAGGGAAUGCAGAUUUUAACAAAGUACCCCUGCACACAUUGGCACUGUUUUUUAACUAGACAAUUCAAAAGCAUGUUAUUAGAUGAUAGAGGGGUGAUUUCCCUGUGUUCUUGCCUAAAUGGGGCAAUUAGAGAUUUGGAAAGUAAAGAUAAUAAUUAUCAGUGUAUGCUUGGAGUAGCUGCUGCAGUCUUUUUUUGAACUGAUGUCCCUGCAGCCAUACUUCAAGACAAAGCCUGUGUCAUUGUUAUCAGAAACAUAUUGCUCUUAUACAAAAUAGAUGUCCACUGAUUUGCCAGUACAAAUAUUAGAUGCUUUUUGCUGGUAUUUCUAAUACCCGUUCAUCAGUGUUUUCAAUUCUGUAUUUGAACAGUAAUCUGUUUUAUGUAGGAAGUCAUACCUACAGGAGGACAAACGCUUUUUCCCUCAUAGUCAAAAAGCGUUUGGGUAAUUUUGUGUGGGUUGAUGGGAUCAAAAAUAGAGAGGCAGCCCUAGGAAAACUAAAUCUAACAACAGUGCCACAUGAGAUAUGUUCUGCUUGGGAACGUUGCUGUGCUACAAGGCACAGGGAGGAUAUAGCUCACCCACCUCCAACCACAGUACGCCCCUUUCAGAUUAUGCCUGCCCUACUCUUCCAUGCAGCAGAUGUUGAGUUGGAGUGGAUGGAAAAUGGGGAGGGCAUUUUUUGCUAUCACCUAAAACCCUGUAUGCUUCUGUGUUCCAUUUUUCUAAAUUGUGAGCAGAAGAGGGACUCUAUUGGGUGAGAUUAUGGCCUGAAGCAGAUGAGUCUGCAAGCAUGUUGUAGAUCUCUGGAGUUCCCUUUCCUUACCAUUUUGCAGCUUUUACUUUAGACUUGGAAUCACUGUGUUCCAUGCUGGUCCAACCUCAACAUGAUUAAGCGUGUUCCUGUAAGGAAGCAUCUAUUCUUACCCAUUUAAUACCUGCUACUGCACUAAUGUGAGGAGAUCUCUAGUUAAUGGCUUUUUAGACCUUGGGAGGUUGAUGCAGAGCUUGCUCCCUUUGUGCAGCACCUUAAUCUUCUCCUGAUGAUCGGGGAGUUUCAGAAUGAGAGACCCAAGCAGUGCAUUGUCCAAAGUCACUGAUGUGAUCAAAAUCACUGAUGCUUGAUGCAGCUCUCAUAGGGAGGAGCACCUAUUUCUCAUCAGCACUUAUUCCCUAACUUCCAUCAGGAGCUUAUCUACUGCUUCUGAUCCUAAAAAUGGGUGCUGGAGGCUUUAGGUCAUCUCCACUAAGGCUCCUGGCCUUACUCUGAACCUGUUAGAAACUGGAUGGGAUUAAAAACUGUGGGAGUUUCCUGUUCUAAAUAUGUUUUGUAAUGUGUUGUUAGAGAGAGGGACUGUCCACUCCUGCUUCUAGGUUAUAAAGAUUGCAACUCGAAGUUUUAGCUUAUAUUUAGCAGGCUACCACAGAAUUUCUUGUGAUUAUCAUGUUUCCCCAGAUGCUCUGGUUGUUCUGGGAAGUGCAAUCAACUCCCUAGUAGCAAUUUAUUCUCUUAUCACUGUUUUCUGUUGAGUUAAUUUUCUGUGGAUGCAUUUCCAGCCCUACAUUCUGAGACUUCUUAGAAACAGUGCAAAGUUCAGGUCAAAAAACCAGGUGGUCCUAACCAGGCAGGUCUUGUGUCCCCAUCUUCCUCAUUGCUGGGAGCAGUUUGAGCUGCAAAUGGAUAUCUUUGGGCUGCUCUCCUUAGGUUGCUUCCUCUUACACUCAUGUACCACCAGGUGCAAAGCAAGAGGGAAGCUGUUGGAGAAGACUGGAAGCAGUUUAUCCCUAUCCUUGUUUGUAAGGGAGGCACAAAGCACUGGGGAUCUAGAUCUGACUUUUUUUUUUGUGGUUAAGCAAAAUGUCUGUUUUAAAAGGCUGGAAACUGUUUGGAGCAUCACUGGAAGCAAAUGAGCUGUUUUUGUGAUUUAAUAGCAGUGGAUAUUUCUUGCUUGGAGCCACGUGGGUCAAGGCUCAGUGGUAGAUAGGUCACACCAAAAUAUUUUUCAUGCAGAAAUCUCUAAGUGGAGAAAGAUAUAGAGAUAUAUAUAU